UACGUAGGGUGCGGGCGUUGUCCGGAAUUAUUGGGCGUAAAGAGCUCGUAGGCGGUCUGUCGCGUCGAAUGUGAAAACCCGGGGCUCAACUCCGGGCUUGCAUUCGAUACGGGCAGGCUAGAGUUCGGUAGGGGAGUCUGGAAUUCCUGGUGUAGCGGUGAAAUGCGCAGAUAUCAGGAGGAACACCGAUGGCGAAGGCAGGUCUCUGGGCCACUACUGACGCUGAGAAGCGAAAGCAUGGGGAGCGAACAGG
rnacentral:rRNA from 1 species